rnacentral:lncRNA from 1 species
UACAACAGGAUUUGAGCAACUCCCUAAACAGGAUCUGAAUUUCAUUCAUCAUUGGAAAUUUGAGGCGAGUGAUUCACUAGACCAGAUCUAAAUUGAAGCAUCUAUACACUGUAUUCAUACCCGCAAAAACAAAAACGGUUUGGCAAGCGCAGGAAUUUAUGAUAUUAUCCAAAGUGAAAAUAUUAAACUGAACGGAAAAGCCAAUCUCAGUAUUACAGUACCGAAUAUGCGAAGACCAGUGGUUUGGCAGUGCCAGAAUUAUAAAUAUGAAUGCGACAGGACAUGCGCUAACGGCACUAAUUACCAGGUUAGCCACAGUGGGAAUACUUCUAUGCUCUUAAUCAGAAAAGUAACAAAGGACUGUUUGACUUGGGCGUUUGCAGACGACAAUAUCAACCUUGGAAGAACCAAAUUGACGAUAAACAGUGGUGCACAAGGAACCAGCAGCCUCAGAACCAAGUCCAUCCUUGUCAUUGGGAUGAUAACAGCCGUCAUCAUUUAUACAUUUUAAGAAAUACCAGUAAUAAUCUCAAGUGCUGGAAGGACACUCCUUUGAUAUUUAAUCCAGUGCUAUGUGGGUAGGAAGCAAGCAUUUUACCACAACCAUGCCUGCCACCUAUAAUUUAAUAAAUAAGAAAUUUUAUAAAUUUGAUUUUGAUGUACACCAGCCUUGUUAUAAACUUUUACUGUUUAAAUUACUGCCACUCGAUUUAUGCUGUCAGCGUCAUCGUCGAAUCAACAUCCAGUUUUCUAAAACCCCUGCUCUGACUUACAUAUGUCUAACUCAGAAAAGCAGGGGAAAAUAUUGGUCAGAAUCUCUGUGGAUGAUGAUGAUGAUGUUGAUGAUUUCUAUUAAAAUUCACUGCAUUUCUGUCAAUUUCAAAAUUAACGAAGAAUUUAAUUAAAAAGCCUUUCCCAUAAUUAAGUUCAGAUUUGGAAUAUAAAUUAAAAAGAACUUUGAAAUGGAAGGUUAUAAUUUUGAUAACUUCUAACUCUCUUGUAAUGAAAUUUCCGUUUUUCUCUUAAAAUAUAUUACCUAUAUUUCAAUAAAGAUUACGAAAAUAA